UUUUUAAAUGAUGAGGAGGGGACCAGUAAACAUCCUAUGUACAUGGAUGACCCACUGUCUCACUAGGCGAUGAAGCCAUCCACUGAGCACACAUCUAACAGCUAGACACUGUCGGCCUCUUGAUAUUUAAACUUCAUACGAUCUGUAUAAGAAAAUAUUUUUUAGAAGAUGCCUCGGUGUUUAGGAACAAGGAGACUUCUAGCAACUUUUUGGCCAUGAGUUGGAUACAACACAAGGUUACAAGAGAUCCAGAAGCCUGAUCAAGAUUCACAUGGAGGAGAAUAGACCCCAUCUUUCAAUGAGACUUCAGAGCACAGUACUCUCCACAAGGAUACCAAUGUCUACAAGGGUGCCACUGGCCCAGCACGGAAGUCACCAGGUCCAGCCUAUACUUAAGAGGAAGGCAUUAUACAAGGGAGUGAAUGCCAGGAGGCAAGAUUAUUGGGAGGCACAUCAGAAGCUGCCUGCGAAAACAGGGGUAUAUAGAAGCCCAAAUGAAACAGCUUUUAAUUCCAAAUGCAAAAUAAACAACAUGGAAAUAUAAGACAGCACAUUGAAAAGACCCAAGAGUCAAAGGAGGAAAUUUGUAUCCAGAGGUGUUCCAUGAAAUUGGAUGCUGAGAGAUAAGAAAAGGAAAAAAAAUGGAGAGUGAAGAAAGCAACAUUUUGAGAGCUGAGCAGGUUUUUUUUUUUUAUCAGAAAUAGUGUUUAUUGGACUCCCCUCCAUAAAAAAAAAUUGCUUAUGGAAAUAAGAUUAGUAUCUUUUCCCUUUGGUUCCCAGAACACCUAAAAAAGGAGAUGAGAGGGAAACAGGGGAGGAAGGAGAGAAAGAAGGACUUGGUGAGAACUGGGGAAAUCUUCAAGAAAGGUGGGGGGCAGGUCCAUGCUUUUGCUUCUCUGCUCUCCCUUCCAAUUCUAUAAUUGGCACAAGAAAGGAUUGCAGCCCUACUUUGGCUUAUCUCUCAUAUUCUUAAAUCCAUGCCUGUUCCUCAAGUAUUUAGUUAGGGAGGAAAGCUGUGAGUUGGUAAAGUCUGCUCCCCCACCACCUCUGGAAUUUUCCCCACGGAAAUAGGACACAAUAAAGUCAGACAAUGCGAGCAUUCACACCAGGGCAGCCAGGGAUGCCUUUGUUCUGGUGAACCAGAAUGAAGCUUAACUAAAUAUGCUGUGAAGCAACUUAAGCAAAGUGGAAAGAGAAAAUGAUUUCCCACUUCUAGAUAUAGCAAAAUACAUUAGCAAUAGCGCUUGGGUCUAAGCAGAUCCGAUGAGUUACAAAUGAUCAUUUUCAUUAUGGCCUAAUGAGAUCACGGUUGAAGUAAGUUAAUAACGAUUAAAGUUAAU